rnacentral:rRNA from 1 species
UAGGGAAUCUUCCGCAAUGGGCGAAAGCCUGACGGAGCAACGCCGCGUGAGUGAUGAAGGUCUUCGGAUCGUAAAACUCUGUUAUUAGGGAAGAACAAAUGUGUAAGUAACUAUGCACGUCUUGACGGUACCUAAUCAGAAAGCCACGGCUAACUACGUGCCAGCAGCCGCGGUAAUACGUAGGUGGCAAGCGUUAUCCGGAAUUAUUGGGCGUAAAGCGCGCGUAGGCGGUUUUUUAAGUCUGAUGCGAAAGCCCACGGCUCAACCGUGGAGGGUCAUUGGAAACUGGAAAACUUGAGUGCAGAAGAGGAAAGUGGAAUUCCAUGUGUAGCGGUGAAAUGCGCAGAGAUAUGGAGGAACACCAGUGGCGAAGGCGACUUUCUGGUCUGUAACUGACGCUGAUGUGCGAAAGCGUGGGGAUCAAACAGG